rnacentral:rRNA from 1 species
UACGUAGGGUGCAGGCGUUAAUCGGAAUUACUGGGCGUAAAGUGUGCGCAGGCGGUUUUGUAAGCCAGAUGUGAAAUCCCCGGGCUUAACCUGGGAAUGGCAUUUGGGACUGCAAGGCUUGAGUGCGGCAGAGGAGACUGGAAUUCCUGGUGUAGCAGUGAAAUGCGUAGAUAUCAGGAGGAACACCGAUGGCGAAGGCAGGUCUCUGGGCUGACACUGACGCUCAUGCACGAAAGCGUGGGGAGCAAACAGG